AUAUAUAUUGAAAGUUGAGUAAAGUUAGAUUUUAAAUCAUUCAUUUAAGAACAUAAGAUUUUAUAAUAGAACCUCAAAUCAUCAUUCGAAUCACAGUAAAUUGCGUUUAGAUUUAAAUUCGAUUAAAAUAGAUAAUUGAAUUGCUAAAAAAGAAAAUAACAACACCUUAGAUAACACAUCUAUCUAUCUCUAUAUAUAAAGGAGAGAGACAACUCUCCUUAGGCUAUCCAGCUCAGCAAAGAGGUAGGGGGUUUAGACACCACGUGGCAUCUAAAAAACAAAGAAAUUGCUCUCUCCGGUUUGUGUUGUUUUUACGUGAUGGGCUCUACGAUUGUAUUUUAAUUUUGGUUUGUGUUUUGCUACAUUUUGCUUGGGCUUUAUGCAUAAUCUUAACCCCAUAUAAAUUAGGUUUUCUAUUCUUCUGGCCUUUAAUCACCUUUCAGCUCACGGUUACGUUUUACCUUUAAAUCAGCUCGUCAUGAUUGCAUCAGAACAUCAGUUACUCUUUCUUCUUCGUCUAUCUUCUACAAUCUCACGUUGAUUAAAUAUACCUCGGGUCUUUGCUUCGUUUAUGAUCUCAGAAGCCUAAGCAGCAAACAGCAAAUUGAGGAUUGAGAAGGCUGAUGUGUAGUUGCGUGAGUCAGUAUGUCAAAGAGAACGUAGCUUUGGAAAUCUGAGCUUAGGUAUGGAAGGCAAGCCUGAAGUCAUCGGUGAUACUAGGAGAAGGUAGUAACCAGAUAUGUGACGCAGGACAAGCUCUUAUUAACGAAAACUUAUAUGAAAGGUUAUGUAGUCAUGUAUACUUUUUAUUGGCAGCAGACAAGAAACAAUAUGGAGAAUUAUACGCUAUCUUAAAGGAAAUUCAAGGGCUACUUAGGCACGGUGUAGCUGCUGUUAAGAUUUCUACUCAGUUCUCACUUUGGUAUCUGCUUUAUUGAAUUUCUUCCUCCAUUCACAAACAGCUGCUUCUCCAUCCUGACUCUGAUGAUUCCGCUUAGCUAUCCCAGAUUCAGACGGGAAAGCUUUUGACCUAUAUUACUUACUGAAAUGAACAAGCGCUUGAAGGCACGUGCAAGGGCAAUAAUUUCAAUGCUAUAUGUCACUUCCUUGGUUACCAAGCUUGCGGAUCUCUCACACUGAAAUUCAAUUGUUAUUAUGCAUAUGUAAGUCACUGCCACUCUGACCACAACACUAAUUCCACAUCCUCGCUGCAGGUUUAAAUGGUGACAUGGAAACAAUGACCAACUCUAAAAGUCAUGUAAACAAGUGGAAAUCUGGUGCUGUACCUACUAAAAUUGGCAGACGUACAAUUCAUCCGAUUUGUAACAGGCUUUCAGACAGAACACAGAGAAACCCACGACCUCUUCAGGUGCACAUUAGCCACUUUGUUAUUCAUGUGCAGAACCCACGACCUCUUCAGUAUGAUGGUCCCUGAUGCUGCAGAUUACAUGGGACGUAUCAAUAUAAGCGACAUAAAUGAAGGACACACUUGCUACUAAAGGAGGUGAACAACUAUCAAUAGCCUUCUCCUUCUAGAGCUCGUAAUCUCUUUGAAGUUGAUCUUUUAAUUGAUCUUUGUGUUGUUUAUAGUUUUCUAAUAGAGAAAAAAAUUAUCAUGGUAAGAUACUACAAGGCUGUGGGAGAUUAGCAAGUAAGCCCGAGGAAGAAUCAAAUUAAGAGAAAAAAACGAAUGCUCUGAUUUUUGUAUACACCAUACAAGACGCUACUACUCUUAGACUUGGUGGUGAAGAGUGAAUGGAAUGGACAAGAAAAAAAAGAACAAUGAUAACGACAA